GCAGUGAUGUGUGCACGGUGUCAGUCCGUGUUUAGGGGGGCGUCCAGCUCGCGUCUUGCAUUCUGGAUGUUCCUCUCAUGCAAAGCCUGUGGCCGCAGAUAAACCUGAGAUCAUAGUACCGGUCUAGCGACGUCCGCCGGACGAUCCAAACGCUGGCCGGCCUCCGACCUCUCAGACACAG
rnacentral:snoRNA from 1 species